GUCUUGUUGACUAGAGACCGGACAUUAAAUGUUGCGAUCCUUAAACUCGUCCGAGGCGUGCUUUGGCCUCUUUCAUCCUCUGUAUGUAGGAGUUUUUUGCCUGUUCACAUCCGGCUGUCCUAGGCAUAAUGGCUGCUCGCUCUCUUACAAACGAGGGACACAAAUUGUCGGAGGCUUUGUGUGUUGCUGCUGAGUUCUUCUCUGAGUGAUUUCUGCUCUUGCAACAGUUGGAGCACUUCAUCUUCUUGACCUUGUUGUCUUCCUUGUUCAUGCAGUCCCUUGAGGUGUGACUCCCCCCACAGUAGAAACAUGUAGGGUCUUUGUCUUUGUCUUUACAGUACCUAGAGUUAGCCAUGUGACCGAAUUCUUGACAGUGAUAGCACUGGAUGGCAUGAAAACGGUCUGUAACAUAGUGCUCACUGAGGUCAAUGUUUACACAGUCUCCAUUUCGCCUUAUUGACUCCCGGGUUUCCGCACUGACUUGGAUUACAGCGUAUCUCUGCUUGUCAUCAAAGAACACAACCUUGAUGGAUUUCUCUUCUUUGGUCUCUUUAGGGUUGCCCUGUCCUGUAGUAGGCAAUGUAGCCAUAGCUGCUUUCAAUAAAUCAGGUAUUACAUCAUGGAGCUGCGUCUUUAUUAUUUUUUCAAAGUUGGGGAAAUCCUGUGGGACAGAACUUGUGACAUCUAUAGUAUCUGCAAUAGUUUUACAAAGGUUCAGGGAUUUCCGGUUGAUGUGGUCCAACUCAUCUUUCAUCUUUUUCCAUUCUUCCAUGGAUACGCGACAGUCUGACACAAACCCGGACGUUUUUACUUCCUGGUCCGCGGAAAACAUCCGCGGAUAAAGAUAAGAUUAUCUUUAUCAAGAUCAGACUAUCCAACCUCCGUUUCUUUUUUAAUGGAGCCACCCGCUAUUCAUCACUCUGUCCAGCCAUGGCGAAGAAUAGGAGAUCGCUAUCGGGACCAGAUAACCGCCGCAGGUCCACAGGCACUGUACGCGAACAGCUGAUCCUAGGAGGUGCGUUUCAGAAACAUAAUUAUUUGAAUAUAAAUGAAUUCAUUUAUUGCUGGUUAGUAAGCACAUAAAUACACCAUAAGAAAAGAGAAUGCCAACUUCACAUUUAAGAAAGAUUACUGGGGGCAGUUAAUUUCAACAUCAACAUAAGUUUAGCCUCUUUUUAUCAACAUGUGAAUUGGAAUUCAAGUGGCCUAAAAUAUUCCCUUUGGCCAAGUCCGACCGAAGUGAUUCUCACUGUUGGCGAUAACCUGAUUGAAAUCAAUACAACAAGAAAGCAUGGAUCAAAGAGGGCUUGUUUUAGUCAAUCUUCGGAAAAUUGUAGUUUCACACUAGAGACGUUAGAGGUCGGUAAUACCCGCCGUCGCGCAAUGACGUCGGUUAGGAAGAGUGGAGGCUAAUUCAUUUUAAGCAGUGCUGUCUCUUCCUAUGUUCGAAAGGAAGCACCUUUCCAUCUCUCCUUGAUCCGAUGACGUUUCCCUCAAAGGUUAUGGAAAGGAGGCAUAAAGGUUAGGAGAUUUGACUAUUCGUAGAGGCCCCCAGUCUUCAGCCACAUUCCCACCUCCUCAAAACCACUGACUGCCAUUCCCUACCCGUUCACCGGAUGCCUGCAGACAUUUUCAUCAGACUUCCUUAUUCACCUAGUUAUCUUUUCUCAUUGGUCUCGAAUUACUGAACAUCACCGUGCUGCCUACUACAUUUGGUUCCUUUCCCUACUGCCUCCCGAACCAGCAUUGACAGAAUGAACGGACAAAGGAACCAGAAAUCUUGCCUGAU
rnacentral:lncRNA from 1 species